AUCAGCCUUCCACUAGAAAAGCCAGAUAGUACUGGCAGGAACUAAGCAAAGGAAUAAUAAAACAAACACGUAUUUAUUUUUCACUAAUAUUAUUUGAUUAAAAACGAAUGUGAUAGAAAAUCGCUGUGUGUAUAUGUCUUAUAUAUAUAUAGGUGUGUAGAUAUGUCUUACAUAUACAUAGGUGUGUAGAUACGGCUUACAUACACAUAGGUGUGUAGAUACGGCUUACAUACACAUAGGUGUGUAGAUACGGCUUACAUACACAUAGGUGUGUAGAUACGCUACAUACACAUAGGUGUGUAGAUACGGCUUACAUACACAUAGUCUUAGAUACGCUUACACAUAGGUGUGUAGAUACGACUUACAUACACAUAGGUGUGUAGAUACGGCUUACAUACACAUAGGUCUCUAGAUACGGCUUACAUACACAUAGGUGUGUGUAUAUGUUUAUAUACGUAUACAUGUACAUAUACACCUAUAUAUCUCUUAGCAACAGUUCUGCAAAACUCAGUCAUUAUACUUUGGCAGAUUGGUUUUAGGUCACUAGUAAGGGCAGAAGCACCACCAUGUGUCAUCAAAAUUCUUGCCUGUGCCUUCCGUAGGACAAAAAGCGGGUUUAUGAUUUUGACCAUAUCAAUUCUU
rnacentral:antisense_RNA from 1 species